UACGGAGGGAGCUAGCGUUGUUCGGAAUUACUGGGCGUAAAGUGCACGUAGGCGGCUUUGUAAGUUAGAGGUGAAAGCCUGGAGCUUAACUCCAGAACUGCCUCUGAUACAGCACGUCUUGAGUUCGAGAGAGGUGGGUGGAAUUCCUAGUGUAGAGGUGAAAUUCGUAGAUAUUAGGAAGAACACCGGUGGCGAAGGCGGCCCACUGGCUCGAUACUGACGCUGAGGUGCGAAAGCGUGGGGAGCAAACAGG
rnacentral:rRNA from 1 species